AACGAACGCUGGCGGCGCGCCUAAUACAUGCAAGUCGAGCGAGAAGACGUAGCAAUACGUUUGUAAAGCGGCGAACGGGUGAGGAAUACAUGGGUAACCUACCCUCGAGUGGGGAAUAACUAGCCGAAAGGUUAGCUAAUACCGCGUACGCUCCUUGGACUUCGGUUCAGGGAGGAAAGCGAUACCGCGGGUAUCGCGCUCUUGGAUGGGCUCAUGUCCUAUCAGCUUGUUGGUGAGGUAACGGCUCACCAAGGCUUCGACGGGUAGCUGGUCUGAGAGGACGAUCAGCCACACUGGCACUGCGACACGGGCCAGACUCCUACGGGAGGCAGCAGUAAGGAAUAUUGCGCAAUGGGCGAAAGCCUGACGCAGCGACGCCGC
rnacentral:rRNA from 1 species